AGAUGAACGCUAGCUACAGGCUUAACACAUGCAAGUCGCGGGGCAGCAUUUCAGUUUGCUUGCAAACUGGAGAUGGCGACCGGCGCACGGGUGAGUAACACGUAUCCAACCUGCCGAUAACUCGGGGAUAGCCUUUCGAAAGAAAGAUUAAUACCCGAUGGUAUAAUCAGACCGCAUGGUUUGAUUAUUAAAGAAUUUCGGUUAUCGAUGGGGAUGCGUUCCAUUAGGCAGUUGGUGAGGUAACGGCUCACCAAACCUUCGAUGGAUAGGGGUUCUGAGAGGAAGGUCCCCCACAUUGGAACUGAGACACGGUCCAAACUCCUACGGGAGGCAGCAGUGAGGAAUAUUGGUCAAUGGGCGCAGGCCUGAACCAGCCAAGUAGCGUGAAGGAUGACUGCCCUAUGGGUUGUAAACUUCUUUUAUAUGGGAAUAAAGUUUUCCACGUGUGGAAUUUUGUAUGUACCAUAUGAAUAAGGAUCGGCUAACUCCGUGCCAGCAGCCGCGGUAAUACGGAGGAUCCGAGCGUUAUCCGGAUUUAUUGGGUUUAAAGGGAGCGUAGGUGGACAGUUAAGUCAGUUGUGAAAGUUUGCGGCUCAACCGUAAAAUUGCAGUUGAUACUGGCUGUCUUGAGUACAGUAGAGGUGGGCGGAAUUCGUGGUGUAGCGGUGAAAUGCUUAGAUAUCACGAAGAACUCCGAUUGCGAAGGCAGCUCACUGGACUGCAACUGACACUGAUGCUCGAAAGUGUGGGUAUCAAACAGGAUUAGAUACCCUGGUAGUCCACACAGUAAACGAUGAAUACUCGCUGUUUGCGAUAUACAGUAAGCGGCCAAGCGAAAGCAUUAAGUAUUCCACCUGGGGAGUACGCCGGCAACGGUGAAACUCAAAGGAAUUGACGGGGGCCCGCACAAGCGGAGGAACAUGUGGUUUAAUUCGAUGAUACGCGAGGAACCUUACCCGGGCUUAAAUUGCAUUUGAAUAAUCUGGAAACAGGUUAGCCGCAAGGCAAAUGUGAAGGUGCUGCAUGGUUGUCGUCAGCUCGUGCCGUGAGGUGUCGGCUUAAGUGCCAUAACGAGCGCAACCCUUAUCUUUAGUUACUAACAGGUCAUGCUGAGGACUCUAGAGAGACUGCCGUCGUAAGAUGUGAGGAAGGUGGGGAUGACGUCAAAUCAGCACGGCCCUUACGUCCGGGGCUACACACGUGUUACAAUGGGGGGUACAGAAGGCAGCUACCUGGUGACAGGAUGCUAAUCCCAAAAGCCUCUCUCAGUUCGGAUCGAAGUCUGCAACCCGACUUCGUGAAGCUGGAUUCGCUAGUAAUCGCGCAUCAGCCAUGGCGCGGUGAAUACGUUCCCGGGCCUUGUACACACCGCCCGUCAAGCCAUGAAAGCCGGGGGUACCUGAAGUACGUAACCGCAAGGAGCGUCCUAGGGUAAAA
rnacentral:rRNA from 1 species